rnacentral:rRNA from 1 species
UACGUAGGGGGCAAGCGUUGUCCGGAUUCAUUGGGCGUAAAGAGCGUGUAGGCGGCCAGGUAGGUCGGUUGUGAAAACUGGAGGCUCAACCUUCAGAGGUCGACCGAAACCAUCUGGCUAGAGUCCGGGAGAGGAGAGUGGAAUUCCCGGUGUAGCGGUGAAAUGCGCAGAUAUCGGGAGGAACACCAGUAGCGAAGGCGGCUCGCUGGGCCAUUCCUGACGCUGAGACGCGAAAGCUAGGGGAGCGAACAGG